rnacentral:rRNA from 1 species
AGAGUUUGAUCAUGGCUCAGAUUGAACGCUGGCGGCAUGCCUUACACAUGCAAGUCGAACGGCAGCACGGGGGCAACCCUGGUGGCGAGUGGCGAACGGGUGAGUAAUACAUCGGAACGUGUCCUGUCGUGGGGGAUAACCAGUCGAAAGACUGGCUAAUACCGCAUGAGAUCGAGAGAUGAAAGCAGGGGACCGCAAGGCCUUGCGCGAUUGGAGCGGCCGAUGUCGGAUUAGCUUGUUGGCGGGGUAAAAGCCCACCAAGGCGACGAUCCGUAGCUGGUUUGAGAGAACGACCAGCCACACUGGGACUGAGACACGGCCCAGACUCCUACGGGAGGCAGCAGUGGGGAAUUUUGGACAAUGGGGGCAACCCUGAUCCAGCCAUGCCGCGUGUGUGAAGAAGGCCUUCGGGUUGUAAAGCACUUUCGGACGGAACGAAAUCGCACGGGUGAAUAUCCCGUGUGGAUGACGGUACUGUAAGAAGAAGCACCGGCUAACUACGUGCCAGCAGCCGCGGUAAUACGUAGGGUGCGAGCGUUAAUCGGAAUUACUGGGCGUAAAGCGUGCGCAGGCGGCUUCGCAAGUCAGGCGUGAAAUCCCCGGGCUUAACCUGGGAAUGGCGUCUGAAACUACGGAGCUGGAGUGUGGCAGAGGGAGGUAGAAUUCCGCGUAGCGGUGAAAUGCGUAGAUAUGUGGAGGAAUACCGAUGGCGAAGGCAGCCUCCUGGGCCAACACUGACGCUCAUGCACGAAAGCGUGGGGAGCAAACAGGAUUAGAUACCCUAGUAGUCC